rnacentral:rRNA from 1 species
CCUACGGGUGGCUGCAGUGGGGAAUAUUGGACAAUGGGCGAAAGCCUGAUCCAGCCAUGCCGCGUGUGUGAAGAAGGCCUUCGGGUUGUAAAGCACUUUCAGUGGGGAAGAAAGCCUUGGGGCUAAUACCCUCGAGGAAGGACAUCACCCACAGAAGAAGCACCGGCUAACUCCGUGCCAGCAGCCGCGGUAAUACGGAGGGUGCGAGCGUUAAUCGGAAUUACUGGGCGUAAAGCGCGCGUAGGCGGUCUGAUAAGCCGGUUGUGAAAGCCCCGGGCGCAACCUGGGAACGGCAUCCGGAACUGUCAGGCUAGAGUGCAGGAGAGGAAGGUAGAAUUCCCGGUGUAGCGGUGAAAUGCGUAGAGAUCGGGAGGAAUACCAGUGGCGAAGGCGGCCUUCUGGACUGACACUGACGCUGAGGUGCGAAAGCGUGGGUAGCAAACAGGAUUAGAUACCCGAGUAGUC